UGGAAUUGGUGAUUGGCUGAUAAACGACCAUGUUACCUUUGUACAG
rnacentral:pre_miRNA from 1 species